rnacentral:tRNA from 12 species
CGGGUUGUGGCGCAGCUUGGUAGCGCACCUGACUGGGGGUCAGGGGGUCGCAGGUUCAAAUCCUGUCAACCCGA